AAACAGUACCUAAUAGGUGGUGAGGAUUGAUGAGAACUAUAAAUGAAACACUUGACACCAGUACCUGGCACAGAACAGAUGCUUCAGAAAUGCUGCCUGUUAUUCAUUGUCAUCUCUGGAUCUCACUGAAGAGAAGAGACAAAAUGGUCUCUGAAAGCUUUUCUUUUGCUCCGUCCUGUCCGUAAGUGACAGAGCUCAGUGAGCCCCGGUUGGCUUGGACCUAGCACAUGAGGCUCAGGGAAGGGGCGGCUCCUUGUCUUUGUAAAUAACAAAUAAGCAUUCUCAUCUCAUAGGCAGGCAUGUGCGUAGCAGUUUACAAAAUACUCUCCUUCAAAUUAUCACCCUGGAUCCUCAAAAAUCCUUUGAAGGUAGCAGGUCAUAGAUUAUCAUCCCAUUUUAAAGACAAGAACAUUGAAGCUCAGGUGAUCACAAGCCCAAGAUUGCACAGCUAGAUGUUGAGUGAGAUGGG
rnacentral:lncRNA from 10 species